UUUUUCUAGGUUCACAAAAACUUACAGAUUUUCCUCCUCUUUUAUCUUCUUUUGAAUCAUUUGAGCUCAUCGUUGUAUUUAUUCUCAUCUAACCUGAGUCGUUUUAAGUCAUCUAAUUUUGUUUAGAUAUCUCGGAGGAGCAAAACGGAUUCAAGGAUCCUCCAUGGAAAAUGGGAUGGACACAAAUGAAGACGUACGCAGCAUAUGUAAAGAACAAGAUAAAUUCAGAGAUGGAGAAAUGGAUCAUUAGAGAGGUUGAGGAAACAAUAUAAAGCAAUAAAGAAAUAGUAUGACUUGAAGUAGGAGAAUCAUUCAGAAGGGAUUUUAGGUACCGAAGUUGAAAUCAGAUCAUACGUUGAAUCAACCGCAAUAUAACGGUGUUGAGAUGGAGUAGUAUGUAUAACAUGAAGAAAUUGGCGGUAACAGAUAUUCCAAUAAGCAGCAACACAAUUCCAAGUUGUAGUCAUUCAGUAGACACCGAUAACGAUAUAAUCUCUCACCAUAGAUUCCCAAGUUGUGCUUCAUCAUCUAAUUCACCAAACGCAUUUUAACAGUUCUGAAGUAUGUAUGAACAAUUGACCAUGGUGAUGCAAUAAAUAUUUAUGAGUAUUGCAAUGCUUUCAUGUGGUAUGAUGAACGUGUUGGCAAAAGAUGCAGAUGACCACAUCCGAUAAAGCUUAACGAAGCUUACUCUGCUACUUUAUCGCUUCCGUUUUCAAUCAGUCACUUCAAACUCCCUCUCAUCUCACCGUAUGGAUAAU